CGGUGCUCGUCGAGAGGUUUCUGAAAUGGGAGAAGCCUUGAGGGGUGCUAGGGAACACUGAGCCGAGGACCCCCAGACUGUGUCUUCCUGGAUGCGGUGCGCUCUGUGAUGGCCUGUGAAGCGGGGCUCCACGGCCCUGCCCUUCGAGCUGUGCUCUGCGGGUGUCUGGCCUCCAGGGUCAUCCCCGGGCUGCUGUGGCCGAACUCACUGUCAUGUGAGGAGCUGAGCUUUGCUCCCCGAGAGUGCCCUGGGAUCCACAGCACAGCCAGGGCACCUGUGGGAGCUCAGUGAGAGCUUGUGAGCAGCACUUGGAAUCGAGGGAUCCUCCUCUCAACCAGCACUGCCGCCUGCCAGUCCCAUCACAGAUGGAAUAGAUCUUAGACCCGUGGUCACCACUUGUCUGACAAUUAUGUUUUUAACUUCUAAAAGGCUUUGACCGACCUUCCCCUUCCUUGAAGGCCAGCCCUGUCCUGCCUGGACCCUGGAGGCCCCUUCCCUCCCGGCCAGCUGCUGGGGCCUCUGUCCCCCCAGGACCUGCCCAGUGACCUGGGCAGCCUGGUGGGCCUGGGAAGGAGCUGACCAGGCGCUGCCACGUGUGGCCCCCAUGUCACCCGGACCCUCUCGUGCAGCCCUGCUCCUGGCAACGUGCUGCAGCUCAGUCCCCGUGGGUGAAGUGAGACCAGACCUGGGAACGACCCACAUGUCCUCUCUCCACACUGCGGACGUCACUCAGCGUCUUGAUCUACCUGACAGUGUCGGUGAGCCUGGGAGGCGUUAUCCAGAGUGAAGGGACCCCGAUGUGAAGGACCACACGUGAUUUACUCCGUUUGUGUAAAACGUCCAGAACAGGCAAAUCCACUGAGACAGAGAGCAGAUUCACCAUUGCCAAGGCCUGGGGCAGGGGGAUGGGCAGUGCCUGCUGACAGGCGUGGGGUACCUUUAGGGCAUGAUGGAAAUGUUCUGGAAUUGGUGGUGGUGAUGACUACACGACACUGUGAUUGUACUAAAAAAAAACACCGAAGC